rnacentral:rRNA from 1 species
GACGAACGCUGGCGGCGUGCUUAACACAUGCAAGUCGAACGGUGAAGCGCCUUCCUUUUUGGUGGGUGUGGAUGAGUGGCGAACGGGUGAGUAACACGUGAGUAACCUGCCCCCUUCUUCUGGAUAACCGCAUGAAAGUGUGGCUAAUACGGGAUAUUCUGGGUCUGUCGCAUGAUGGGUCUGGGUAAGAGAUUGGUUCGGUGGGGGAGGGGCUCGCGGCCUAUGAGCGUGUUGUGGGUGUGAUGGCCUACCAAGGCGGUGACGGGUAGCCGGCCUGAGAGGGUGGACGGUCACACUGGGACGGAGACACGGACCAGACUUCUACGGGAGGCAGCAGUGGGGAAUAUUGCACAAUGGGCGCAAGUCUGAUGCAGCGACGGCGCGUGAGGGAUGGAGGCCUUCGGGUUGUGAACCUCUUUCGCCAGUGAAGCAGGUCUGCCUUGUUUGUGGGUGGGUUGACGGUAGCUGGAUAAGAAGCGACGGCUAACUACGUG